rnacentral:tRNA from 1 species
GACUAUAUGAUCUAAUGGUAUGAUAUUACUUCUUCAUAGUAAGUAUAUAGGUUCAAUUCCUAUUAUAGUUA